rnacentral:rRNA from 1 species
GACGGAGGGUGCAAGCGUUGCUCGGAAUCACUGGGCGUAAAGGGUGCGUAGGCGGUCUCGCAAGUCUGGCGUGAAAGCCCAAGGCUCAGCCUUGGAAGUGCGCUCGAAACGGCGAGGCUGGAGUGCCGGAGGGGAGAGUGGAAUUCCCGGUGUAGCGGUGAAAUGCGUAGAGAUCGGGAGGAACACCGAUGGCGAAGGCAGGUCUCUGGGCCAUAACUGACGCUGAGAAGCGAAAGCAUGGGGAGCGAACAGG